AGGGGUAUAGCUCAGUUGGUAGAGCAGCGGAUUCCAAAUCCGCAGGUCACGGGUUCGAGUCCCCUUGCCCCUGCCA
rnacentral:tRNA from 1 species